GUUACUGGAUUUGUCACUUUAAGCCUUGACUUUGAUAUAUCGAUUUAGCAUGAAUUGCUGGAUGCUCAAGACUUUAGGACUUUUUUAUCUAAAAAGUUCUUCCAUGAAAAAUAUCUAGGAUAUUUUUCAAUUCUUAUUUCUUGUCAAGUUUGACAAUUUAUUGUCAUUUUUUUAUUUUUGUAAGACCUUUUCUUUUCUCUUAGUCACGAAAUUGUUUAGUUGAUGUAAGAUGCUAAUAUUAGGGAAACGAUUCUUUUUAGAAAGGGGCCUCUGUUCUAUGGAUUUUUUUUAAUAUUUCUUUUUUUGAGAAUAUAUAUUUUUAGUCAUUUAAAAAUAUUUGAUUACGGAUGGUAAACUUUUAAUUAUUAUCAUCCUUUCUAGGAACCUGUUUGCAAUUCUCCCUCAAUGAGUCAGAAUACCCUCAGUUUAGGAUCUUGGAUCAAGCCAUCAAGAGAUCUUGAUGAAGGGCCAGUGACUUUCGUUAGAUAAUGGAUAUUGACUUUGAUGAAAAGGAUGGAGGACUAAUUAUUGUCAGAAGUUUAUCCAAAUGGAAUAAAAGUGAGAUGCUGAAGAAGUUCAACUUUCUGUCUAUUCACAUUGAGUGUCAGGCAGCUGGAGAUAAAAUGGGACUUUGGAACCUGUUUGCAAUUCUCCUUCAAUAAGAUAGAAAACCCUCAGUUUAGGAUCUUGGAUCAAGCCAUCAAGAUAUCUUGGCGAAGGGCCAGUGACUUUCGUUAGAUAAUGGAGAUUGACUUUGAUGAAAAGGAUGGAGGACUAAUUAUUUUCAGAAGUUUAUCCAAAUGGAAUAAAAGUGAGAUGCUGAAGAAGUUCAACUCUCAAUCCAUCCCCAUUGAGUGUCAGGCAGCUGGAGAUUAAAUGGAACCUGUUUGCAAUUCUCCUUCAAUAAGUCAAAAUACCCUCAGUUUAGGAUCUUGGAUCAAGCCAUCAAGAGAUCUUGACGAAAGGCCAGUGAGUUCCGUUAGAUAAUGGAGAUUGACUUUGAUGAAAAGGAUGGAGGACUAAUUAUUGUCAGAAGUUUAUCCAAAUGGAAUAAAAGUGAGAUGCUGAAAAAGUUCAACUUUUUGUCUAUUCACAUUGAGUGUCAGGCAGCUGGAGAUUAAAUGGGACUUUCGAACCUGUUUGCAAUUCUCCUUCAGUAAGUCAGAAUACCCUCAGUUUAGGAUCUUGGAUCAAGCCAUCAAGAGAUCUUGACGAAGGGCCAGUGACUUUCGUUAGAUAAAGGAGAUUGACUUUGAUGAAAAGGAUGGGGGACUAAUUAUUUUCAGAAAUUUAUCCAAAUGGAAUAAAAGUGAGAUGCUGAAGAAGUUCAACUUUUCACAUUGAGUGUCAGGCAGCUGAAGAAUAAAUGGGACUUUGGAACCUGUUUGCAAUCCUCUUUCAAUGAGUCAGAAUACCCUCAGUUUAGGAUCUUGGAUCAAGCCAUCAUGAGAUCUUGACGAAGGGCCAAUGUCUUUCAUUAGAUAAUGGAUAUUGACUUUGAUGAAAAGGAUGGAGUACUAAUUAUUUUCAAAAGUUUAUCCAAAUGAAAUAAAAGAGAGAUGUUGAAGAAGUUCAACUCUCAAUCCAUCCACAUUGAGUGUCAGGCAGCUGGAGAUAAAAUGGGACUUUGGAACAUGUUUGCAAUUCUCCUUCAAUAAGACAGAAAACCCUCAGUUUAGGAUCUUGGAUCAAGCCAUCAAGAGAUCUUGAUGAAAGGCCAGUAACUUUCGUUAGAUGAUGGAUAUUGACUUUGAUUAAAAGGAUGGAGGACUUAUUAUUUUCAGAAGUUUAUCCAAAUGGAAUAAAAGUGAGAUGCUGAAGAAUAUUCACAUUGAGUGUCAGGCAGCUGGAGAUUAAAUGGGACAUUCCAACCUGUUUGCGAUUCUCCUUCAAUGAGUCAGAAUACCCUCAGUUUAGGAUCUUGGAUCAAGCCAUCAUGAGAUCUUGACGAAGGGCCAAUGUCUUUCAUUAGAUAAUGGAUAUUGACUUUGAUGAAAAGGAUGGAGUACUAAUUAUUUUCAAAAGUUUAUCCAAAUGAAAUAAAAGAGAGAUGUUGAAGAAGUUCAACUCUCAAUCCAUCCACAUUGAGUGUCAGGCAGCUGGAGAUAAAAUGGGACUUUGGAACCUGUUUGCAAUUCUCCUUCAAUAAGAUAGAAAACCCUCGGUUUAGGAUCUUGGAUCAAGCCAUCAAAAGAUCUUGACGAAGGGCCAGUGACUUUCGUUAGAUAAUGGAGAUUGACUUUGAUGAAAAGGAUGCAGGACUAAUUAUUUUCAGAAAUUUAUCCAAAUGGAAUAAAAAUGAGAUGCUGAAGAAGUUCAACUUUCUGUCUGUUCACAUUGAGUGUCAGGCAGCUGGAAAUUAAAUGGGACUUUGGAACAUGUUUGCAAUUCUCCUUGAAUGACUCAGAAUACCCUCAGUUUAGGAUCUUGGAUCAAGCCAUCGAGAGAUCUUGACAAAAGGCCAGUAACUUUCGUUAGAUAAUGGAGAUUUACUUUGAUGAAAAGGAUGAAGGACUAAUUAUUUUCAGAAGUUUAUCCAAAUGGAAUGAAAGUAACCUGCUGAAGAAGUUCAACUCUCAAUCUAUUCACAUUGAGUGUCAGGCAGCUGGAGAUUAAAUGGGACUUUGGAACAUGUUUGCAAUUCUCCUUGAAUGACUCAGAAUACCCUCAGUUUAGGAUCUUGGAUCAAGUCAUCAAGAGAUCUUGACGAAGGGCCAGUGACUUUCGUUAGAUAAUGGAGAUUGAGUCUGAUAAAAAGGAUGGAGGACUAAUUAUUUUCAGAAGUUUAUCCAAAUGGAAUAAAAGUGAGAUGCUGAAGAAGUUCAACUUUCUGUCUAUUCACAUUGAGUGUCAGGCAGCUGGAGAUUAAAUGGGACUUUGGAACCUGUUCGCAAUUCUCCUUCAAUAAGUCAGAACACCCUCAGUUUAGGAUCUUGGAUCAAGCCAUCAAGAGAUCUUGACGAAGGGCCAGUGACUUUCGUUGGAUAAUGGAGACUGACUUUGAUGAAAAAGAAGGAGGACUAAUUGUUUUCAGAAGUUUAUCCAAAUUGAAUAAAAAUGAGAUGCUGAAAAGGUUCAACUUUCUGUCUAUUCACAUUGAGUGUCAGGCAGCUGGAGAUAAAAUGGGACUUUGGAACCUGUUUGCAAUUCUCCUUCAAUGAGUCAGAAUACCCUCAGUUUAGGAUCUUGGAUCAAGCCAUCAAGAGAUCUUGACGAAGGGCCAGUGACUUUCGUUAGAUAAUGGAGAUUGAGUUUGAUAAAAAGGAUGGAGGACUAUUUAUUUUCAGAAGUUUAUCCAAAUGGAAUAAAAGUGAGAUGCUGAAGAAGUUCAACUUUCUGUCUAUUCACAUUGAGUGUCAGGCAGCUGGACUUUAAAUGGGACUUUGGAACCUGUUUGCAAUUCUCCUUCAAUAAGUCAGAACACCCUCAGUUUAGGAUCUAGGAUCAAGCCAUCAAGAGAUCUUGAUGAAAGGCCAGUGACUUUCGUUAGAUAAAGGAGAUUGAGUUUGAUAAAAAGGAUGGAGGAAUAAUUAUUUUCAGAAGUUUAUCCAAAUUGAAUAAAAGUGAGAUGCUGAAGAAGCUCAACUUUCUGUCUAUUCACAUUGAGUGUCAGGCAGCUGGAGAUUAAAUGGGACUUUGGAACCUGUUUGCAAUUCUCCUUCAAUGAGUCAGAAUACCCUCAGUUUAGGAUCUUGGAUCAAGCCAUCAAGAGAUCUUGACGAAGGGCCAAUGACUUUCGUUAGAUAAUGGAGAUUGACUUUGAUGAAAAGGAUGGAGGACUAAUUAUUUUCAGAAGUUUAUCCAAAUGAAAUAAAAGUGAGAUGCUGAGAAAGUUCAACUUUCUGUAUAUUCACAUUGAGUGUCAGGCAGCUGGAGAUAAAAUGGCACUUUGGAACCUGUUUGCAAAUUUUGAAGAUAAGUCAGAAUACCCUUUGUUUGUGAGCUUGGCUCAAGCCAUCAUGAGAGUGAGACGAAAAGCCACUGAUCACUGAUGGAGAAUGUUGGAGAGUUUUUUUGAUGGAAAGGAGAAUCAAUUCUUUUCAGAAAGUGAUUGACUUAAAACGAGAUCACCAAAACUUGAAAUAAAAUGGGGCUUCGAGUUAUGUUUGGAAUUCUUCUUGGAAUUGUCAAGCUGUCAUAACACUGAGAUGAAAAGCUAGUGACUGCUUUUAGAUGGUGGAGAUUAAUUUGAUGAAAUACAGGACUAAUUCUUUUCAGAAAGUAAUGGAGUUAAAAGAGAUCACGAAGACUUGAAGUAAAAUGGUCAGUCGUUCUGAGGAAUGACGUCACUUGGGAAGAUGCACAAGAAGAAGAGGCAGAAGAAGACGUUGCAGAAGAAGAAGAUGCACAAAAGGAUGUUCACAAGAAGAUGAAGCAAAGAAGAUCAAAUGAAGAACUGUUGAGAAGAUGGACAGAUGAUACAAAAUGCAUUCAUGUAAAUAAUUCUGAUUGUGAAUGGGUUAGAAGUGCGGUGUUUGCUGGCAAGUAACUUACUUCGAAACUGUCAUUGGGUAAAAUUUACGAUUCCAUCCCAGUUGUUUGCUUGGGUACGCUCAGGGAGAAGCGAGCAGGGAAAGUAUUUCACGAGGGUUUGCUCAGGGAGAAGCGAGCAGAAAACGCGGGAACUGAUCCAAGGGGAGCUUGCACUGUUUUUGCUUUUGUGUGCAUGCACUGACUCUUAGUUUUUGAGGGUGAAAUUCAAUUGUUUGUUUAACAAGUUGCUUGCCAGCAUUGACUGCAUUUUUAAUCCACCAUAAGGGAAAAGGUCAUUUGAGCAGCUCUUUCAACCAAACAAGGCUCUCUUUUUUCCACAUCAAAGUUCCUUUGGCUAGAACUUAUAAUAGGUUCCCUUGCAUGCUUCAUAAAGUGUUUCAAGCCCUAACAUUUGCCCAAAAUUAUCUUUACCAUUGUUUCCGUCAGUAGUUUUCGUUUUUGUUCAGAUUUCCGCUAGAAUUUUUCGUCCAUUGCUUUACAAAAUUUUGCAUUCCCUAAGUUUUACCAAAAUGCAUCUCUAAUUCAACUAUGCUACUGUUUCUUCUCCUCUAAUGAAAGUUCAAACCAAUUUCGUUUGACGACCCUUUUGCAGAAGCUUCAGUAUUGGUUUAAGUUUUCGGCUUUUCAAAUUGAUGAUAUCUUUGAGAUAUCCAGGGAAUCGUGUCAUAGGCGUAUUGCUUCUAGGUAAUACUUUAGGCACUUUGGUUUACGAAAAUAACUUCCAUUCGCCAAGAAGUUUGUUUUUAAGACUGAUUUUUUUUUCGGCUGAAUGAAGUAAACUUGGCAGGUAAAUUUUGAUAGGUGCAUAUCCCAUAGGGAAAAUGUAAACAAAAGUUAGGUAAUAGGAAAGAGAAAGCUGCUUGAAUGACCAAUUCUGAACUUCCUAUCGAUCAGCUGAAUAUCAUCUUCAAGGGGGGGGGGCGUCAUUUUCAAAGGGAGGACGCUUUUCAACUAUAAACCAAAACAGCGUUGACGUGAUAGGGUGGUCGUUUGGUGCCGGUACUUAAGAUGUUGGCUUGCUCAUUUUGGAUUGAAGAAAAGUCAUACUAGCCUACCCUGUGCUGCUAUCCAGAGGAGACCAGAUAAACGAGAAAGGAUACGAGAUUCGAUCAACGUCAUUUAAAAGGAGGACAAUCUUGGAGGAAUUCAUUGCCAAUCAGAAUCAACACCAAUCAAAGUCGAGAAUCAGCACCAGGAUCAGCAUCAUUCGAAAAGUGUUGCAGCUUGGACAAAGUGUGAAACAGCAGGCAAACUGGAAACAACAGUGCCAACGUGAAACAGACUUUCGAGAGGAUCGUCCACACAUUCAUGCCUUCCUUUCUCCUUUUCUUUCAGAUAUUUUUAUAUGAUUCUUUUCAACUUUUUUUCAAUUCUAUCUACACUACUUUUAAUAACUAAGCCCUGAUAUUUAGGUAAAAAGAUUUUUACAGUCUUCUUUAGGUUUUUCACUAUUCUAUUUUGGCCAGAUGCAAGAUGCAUUUACCAAACUCCCCAAGCAUAUAGAUAUAAUAAACUAAGUUGUGCUUUGAAUUUAAAGGUGGAUAGAAAAGCUCUUCCUUAAGGUUGCUAAAUUGCUUUCUGCUAGCCGUUUCCUCAUUGAUUAAUUAUCCUUGCCACUAAAUGGAGAAGAACUUUCCUUUUUCCCCUUGUUUAGAAAUUUUUCCCAAAAUAUUUUAUUUAUCCAAAGCUUACCUUUUCCAUACUUCCAUUACUUUCUCACCUUUUUUCUUUCUUUUCUUUCUUCACCUGUGACUUUCAUCAAGUCGCUAAACGACAAAGAUGAGGACAGAAGGAAACAAGGAUGAACUUCACCAAAGAAUAUGCUCGCAAUUGUCAGAAGAUCAUGUCUGUUGUUUGGGCCAUGCGUCACAUUUUCCCCAAAACUUUUCAUCUCGCGCGUUUUAUAUUAGUGCUUGAAGCGAUAAAAACUUGGGGAUAGUUUGCUUCAAAUUUUCAGCUGAUGGAAGGAGGUUCAUUCUAGAAAGACUUUGUAAAAUGUUGUAUAUGUAAUUAGACUUAAUCAAAUGCAGGUGCAAAUCGACAUGAUAGAGCCAAUGGCAAGGGUGGUCCUCCCGUUAAUGGUCAGUUACAAGCAGGACUCAUUUCACAAUCGCCGAGCUUUCUUCUCCGAACAUUUUGGAUUUUUAGGUUACCACUUCCGUUUUCAAAAACUAUUCACAAUCGCCGGACUUUUUUCUCCGAAAAUUUUAGAUGUUUCUUCUUCCUUUUUCAAGAUUACAAACUUUUUGACGAUCUAAAAUUUUCCCAGAAAAAAUCAGGAUAAGGGUUGGGUUUUCAAUGUUUUCCAGUAAAAAUUUCCCCCGUAGAGGAAUGAAUUUUCAUUCUCUUUCAGUAAGGUCGUAUUUGGGUGUCUUUUUUGUUCAAAUUUUUUUCUAGCACUUAGAAUGCAAAAUUUUUUGUCGUAGGAAAGCAGCUCUAUUUUUACAAAAAAAUGCUUUACGCAUUCCAAAUGUUUUGCGGCAAGAUUUUUUAUCGGUAAACUGUUUUAAGGUCCUUUCUUGUUUUUUGAAUAAAAAUUGCCCAUAUUUUCUG